CCAAACCACCCUGAAUGUGGCCAAUCUCAUCCAAUCUUGAAAGCUAUGUGAACUCAAGACUGAUUCGUACGUGGACGGGAGGCCACCUGGAAGUACUAGGUACUGUAUGGU
rnacentral:rRNA from 1 species